AUCCAAAAUUGUCCUUCGGAUGCUGUAGAAAAAAAAAUAAAAGAAGAAUUAUAGUUAGGAUGGUGACUCAAAUUCUCAGGGAAGACAUAAUCGAGUUAGGAGAGAGGAGGAAGAAAAAGCAUUUUAUUUCAUUUAAGAUGCUAUUAGAUUUUCAUCUUUCUGGAGUAAUGUUAUAGUUCUUCAUCCAGACAGCAUCGGAAAAAACAUGCGGCAUGGCUUGUUCCCAUUCUGUUUUCAGACAGAUAAUUUUUAUUUAAAUAAAAGGGUGGGCACUCAUGGAUGUUAUUGAAGCCUUUACAAAAAUUCUGUGGAAAGAAAUAUGAAAAUGUGGCUAAGUGUACUUAUGUUCCAUAUCAAUUACAUAGCAUAGUAUAUUUAGACAGGUCCUUAAUCUUUUUCUCUCGAGAUUCAUCCAACAGUCUUUGCAAAUUAAGAAGUUUACUGCCCAGAAAAAACCCUUUUCCAUGUAUUGUCAUGAAGAGAUCUUGAUUUUCACGUUGAUAGGAGUUUGAAACAUGGCCAAUGCCUGGUUAUUUUAGAAUGUUCAACUGCCAGGCUAUCAAACUAGUAAACGACCUUCACUCAUCCAACAUGUCUAGAAAUCAACUCAAUUAAAAUUAAGUAAUAAACUAAACUAGUUCAUAA
rnacentral:misc_RNA from 1 species